CUCCACAAGGGUCAAAAAUACAAAUCAGGUGUUGGAAAAACAAGCUGACAUCAUAAAAGAGAACUCCAUUGUACCUGUGUGACCCCACAUUACUUAGAUCCUGAUGACUGUAUGGAGCUGUCCCCCAUCUUUCUCAAAAAGGUGCAGUAGGCCUGAAUUUCGUGGAAAAAGGAAUACUCUUUUGGCCAAUGUCUGGAAUGGCAUAAUGUGCAGCAGAAAAUUUGGGUCCCACCUGAAAAAGCUGCUGCCUCCUGAAAAGAAGUGGACUUGUGCAGGGCUCUACUGUGAGAGAGAGAGGCUGAACAUGGAAUGUGAGCAGAAGGUGCUAACACAGGAUAACAAUGAUCCACUGGUGAGAAAUGCAGCUCAGGAGUACCAGAUCAGCUCUCAGAGCACUGCUUACUUCUGCUUGAAUUGGAAAUCAUAGAAACUGCACUGCAAGCCCUUCAGAAUUCUUGGCAGAAUUGUGAAUACACAAUCCAAUAGAUUAA